rnacentral:rRNA from 1 species
CACACGACUCUCGGCAACGGAUAUCUCGGCUCUCGCAUCGAUGAAGAACGUAGCGAAAUGCGAUACCUGGUGUGAAUUGCAAGAAUCCCGCGAACCAUCGAGUCUUUGAACGCAAGUUGCGCCCGAGGCCACCAGGCCGAGGGCACGCCUUGCUUGGGCGUCACGC